rnacentral:rRNA from 5 species
CCUACGGGAGGCAGCAGUGGGGAAUCUUGCGCAAUGGGCGAAAGCCUGACGCAGCCAUGCCGCGUGAAUGAUGAAGGUCUUAGGAUUGUAAAAUUCUUUCACCGGGGACGAUAAUGACGGUACCCGGAGAAGAAGCCCCGGCUAACUUCGUGCCAGCAGCCGCGGUAAU